rnacentral:rRNA from 1 species
GACAGAGGGGGCAAGCGUUGCUCGGAAUUACAGGGCGUAAAGGGCGCGUAGGCGGGAUGGCAAGUCGGUCGUGAAAUCCCUCGGCUCAACCGAGGAACGUCGAUCGAUACUGCUGUUCUUGAGGAUUGCAGAGGAGACUGGAAUUCCCGGUGUAGCGGUGAAAUGCGCAGAUAUCAGGAGGAACACCGGUGGCGAAGGCGGGUCUCUGGGCCGAUACUGACACUGAGGAGCGAAAGCGUGGGGAGCGAACAGG